rnacentral:tRNA from 1 species
AACUGCGCGUAAUUUAAAAAAAAUAUCAGGAUGUGACCCUGACAUUAGGGGUUAACCCUCAAUCAA